GCCGCGGUACUCCAGCUCCGUUAGCGUAUAUUAAAGUUGUUGCGGUUAAAAAGCUCGUAGUUGGAUUUCUGUCUUCGGCCGGGCGGUGCCGCCUGAUAAUCAAGGGCGCGCACUGCUUUGGGAGCGUUGGUGUCAAGAGCCGCGCUCUUUUAACGGUCGGACAAUACCACCGGAGUGGUGACGGGUCGGCGGGGUUGGCUUUUAUCGGCCUUCACUGUCGGCUCCCACCCGUAAUCGUCCGAGGUGCUCUUAACCGAGUGCCUCGGGCGGCCGGUAACGUUUACUUUGAACAAAUUAGAGUGCUCAAAGCAGGUGCUUGCUCGCCUGAAUAUCACAGCAUGGAAUGAUGGAAUAGGACCUCGGUCUUAUUUUGUUGGUUUUCUCUAGACCCGAGGUAAUGGUUAAUAGAGACAGACGGGGGCAUUCGUACUGCGACGCUAGAGGUGAAAUUCUUGGACCGCCGCAAGACGAACAACUGCGAAAGCAUUUGCCAAGAAUGUUUUCAUUAAUCAAGAACGAAAGUUAGAGGUUCGAAGGCGAUCAGAUACCGCCCUAGUUCUAACCAUAAACGAUGCCAACCAGCGAUCCGCCGAAGUUACUCCCAUGACUCGGCGGGCAGCUUCCGGGAAACCAAAGUCUUUGGGUUCCGGGGGAAGUAUGGUUGCAAAGCUGAAACUUAAAGGAAUUGACGGAAGGGCACCACCAGGAGUGGAGCCUGCGGCUUAAUUUGACUCAACACGGGAAACCUCACCAGGCCCGGACACUGGAAGGAUUGACAGAUUGAGAGCUCUUUCUUGAUUCGGUGGGUGGUGGUGCAUGGCCGUUCUUAGUUGGUGGAGCGAUUUGUCUGGUUAAUUCCGAUAACGAACGAGACUCUAGCCUGCUAAAUAGGUGGCGGGUUUUAUCAUUGAAUUUUGGGUUCGGAGUUCGCCGGGAUCAGAGUUGGCGUUGCUCUCUGUCUCGUUGAGGCGUGUUGGGAGGUGUCGUUGCUCGGGGUUUCGGCUCUGAGUGGUGCCGUUUCUCUUCGCGUUGAGGCGGGCGGAGUGUGGCGUUGGCUCCCCGGCGGUCGGCUUCGUUCUCGCGUCCGUCACAACUCUUCUUAGAGGGACAAGC
rnacentral:rRNA from 1 species